UACGAAGGGGGCUAGCGUUGCUCGGAAUGACUGGGCGUAAAGGGCGUGUAGGCGGUUUGUACAGUCAGAUGUGAAAUCCCCGGGCUUAACCUGGGAGCUGCAUUUGAUACGUGCAAACUAGAGUGUGAGAGAGGGUUGUGGAAUUCCCAGUGUAGAGGUGAAAUUCGUAGAUAUUGGGAAGAACACCGGUGGCGAAGGCGGCAACCUGGCUCAUAACUGACGCUGAGGCGCGAAAGCGUGGGGAGCAAACAGG
rnacentral:rRNA from 1 species